GUCAAAAGACAGUUGUUGCUGGCUUCUGUAGUCUAAGCUACUGAGGAGGCAGAGGCAGGAUGAUCACUUGAGCCCAGGAGAUGUGGGCUAUAAGUGCGCUUAAGCUGAUGGGGGUGUUCAUAUUAAGUUAAGCAUCAAUAUGGUGACCUCCUAGCAGGAAGGGACCACCAGGUGGCCUAAGAAGAGUUGAACCAGCCCAAAUCAGAAACAGAGCAGGUCAAAUCUUCUGUGCUAAUCAGUAGUGGGAUCAUGCCUAUGAAUAGCCACUGCACUCCAGCCUGGACAAGAUAGUGAGACUCCGUCUCU
ensembl:misc_RNA Metazoa_SRP Metazoan signal recognition particle RNA